AGAGUUUGAUCCUGGCUCAGAAUGAACGCUGGCGGCAUGCCUAACACAUGCAAGUCGAACGAANGCUUCGGCCUUAAGUGGGGCACGGGUGCGUAACGCGUGGGAAUCUGCCCCUUGGUUCGGAAUAACAGUUGGAAACGACUGCUAAUACCGGAUGAUGACGUAAGUCCAAAGAUUUAUCGCCGAGGGAUGAGCCCGCGUAGGAUUAGGUAGUUGGUGUGGUAAAGGCGCACCAAGCCGACGAUCCUUAGCUGGUCUGAGAGGAUGAUCAGCCACACUGGGACUGAGACACGGCCCAGACUCUCUACGGGAGGCAGCAGUGGGGAAUAUUGGACAAUGGCGAAAGCCUGAUCCAGCAAUGCCGCGUGAGUGAUGAAGGCCUUAGGGUUGUAAAGCUCUUUUACCCGGGAUGAUAAUGACA
rnacentral:rRNA from 1 species